rnacentral:rRNA from 1 species
AACGAACGCUGGCGGCAGGCUUAACACAUGCAAGUCGAGCGCCCCGCAAGGGGAGCGGCAGACGGGUGAGUAACGCGUAGGAACGUACCCUUUGGUUCGGAACAACUCCGGGAAACUGGAGCUAAUACCGGAUAAGCCCUAACGGGGAAAGAUUUAUCGCCGAAAGAUCGGCCCGCGUCUGAUUAGCUAGUUGGUGAGGUAACGGCUCACCAAGGCGACGAUCAGUAGCUGGUCUGAGAGGAUGAUCAGCCACACUGGGACUGAGACACGGCCCAGACUCCUACGGGAGGCAGCAGUGGGGAAUAUUGGACAAUGGGCGCAAGCCUGAUCCAGCCAUGCCGCGUGAGUGAUGAAGGCCUUAGGGUUGUAAAGCUCUUUUGUCCGGGAAGAUAAUGACUGUACCGGAAGAAUAAGCCCCGGCUAACUUCGUG